ACCCCCCUCCCAGAACUGCUGAGGGCCUUCAAGGUAUGCAUUACUGCAGGAAAUGGAUCAUGGUCUGGACACCACAGAAAGAACCAUCACCUUUCUAUUGAGCUGUAUUGAUGGCAGUAAUGCAGACAGCAGCCUUAGACUUUGCUUUAGAGCAGUAUCAUUUCAGAACAUAGGUUUGUUUUUUUUUUUUAAGAUAUCAGAGCAUAGCUGUGUUCUGUUCCCAGCUUACAGAUAGCCUAGGUCAUCUAGUUUUAUGACAGAAACAAAGGAGGAAAUAGACAAAUAAUUCUUAAGCAGAACUAGGACUAAAAAUGAUAACCAGCUUACCAGAAGUAAUCUGGGGGAAGUUAACGUCCUGCUUUACGCCUAGACAGCUUACAUCCUUGUAGCUACUGGACAUAUCAAUACAGUAGGAAAAACAUCACAACAAAGGCAUGAUGAUGGAAAAACUAACACAAUAGAAAGAAGCUAUAAAAAAAGGAAGAAGAUUGCUCACCUGUAACAGAAGAUUCUAUGAUUGCAAGGGAAAGCUCCCCAAAGGAGAUCUCCAAAGAGAGAUCUUUCCUCACCAGCAGUCAGCCCUUAAAUGAGGUCUAAGAGAGGUGCAGCCAGGCUCCACCCCUUUUGAUCACACACCUGAAUUGCCUUCAUCUGUGCUCCCAGGGCUGACUGGGUCCUUUCCCCAGGUGCUCAAUCAGUGGUUCAUGCCAUUACUCAGCAGUUCCCAUACAACAAUCAAGGCCAUCAGGAGUUAAAGUUGAUACAACUAAAUACAUGCCAUGCUUUUUGCUUAAAUGUUUCUUGAAUAAAUAAUAUACCCAGUGAAAACUUCUAGAGAAGCAUUAGAAAGAGCUGUUCUAUACCAGGGACUGUACUUUAUCCUUAUGGGUCCCUUCCGACUCAGAAAGUUCUACACUUCUGAUUUAUUUAUUUGUUUAUUUUGUACAGAAGGAAAAGCCUACUUGUCUGUUUUUCUGUGAUUGUGUUGUUGGCUUCUGUUUUAUUUUUUUCUUGCUAUAUUUCUCAACUCCGCCCUUCCCCGCCCCUCCCCUGCAACAUGUGCAUUUCAGUGAGUCUGAAAUCUCGAAGGAAUCAGAUAACCCUUCUGUUACUCCAGCUGUUGAUGGGAAUUCAUGGUCUGCAUGUCUGAGUUACGCAGCCACCUCCACCGAGGACAGUUCCAUCUUCUCUCAGGGCUAUGACGUGACACCAUUUCCAAGUGUUUCUUGUAACUUGAAACCUGAUAAUGGGUAGGAAAAUGGAAAAGAGUCAUCUCCGCUUUUGGCACUCGAGGUUUCUGUUUUGCCAGUCACCUUCCUUGUUUUUCUUCUUUGCCUCUCAUUCUGUGUUUUCAGUUAAAAAACAGUGAAGUAAAAUCUUUGGGAGAGAUCUUUCAGUAUCUCGUAUUCGAUCUUUUCCACUGAGAAAGAAAUCUACCUGGUUGUGAUCACUGGAUGAUUUCUGGGUUUUUGUUUUGUUUUGUUUUGUUUUUUGCUUUUUUGUUUUGUUUUGUUUUUUAAUACAUGUACACAAUAGGAAGAUGGUAAAAAUCCUCAGGAUGUAGAAGAAGAGCAGAGCAUCUUUUGGAGAGCACUGGUAGAUGAACUGCUCCAGUUGUCUCUGUAAGGACGAUAUUGUACUGCUCUCCUCAGGGCAAAGUUCUGCCUGAAAAGAUUUCUUGAACACUAAAAUAUGUUGUUCAGGAAUUGCUGUUAAUUUUACUUGCUGGCAAUCCUUUCUAUAGCAAUUACUAUGGCCAUAGCAGUCCUCUGUACAUCACCUUUAUAUCUGUUCUUGAUGCUGAAGCUUUGAUUGUGAGUGCCAAUAACAUACACACAAAGUCUGUUAUGAGCUUCCUUCCUCUCAGAACUCCCUUGUAUUCACAAAUACAAAUUAAGGGAGAGCCAUGUUGCUCCUAUCCAAACUGCCUAUCCCUGACACACCCAGCUGAAGCUGUCUCGAGCUCAGUGUUUCAGGAAGGAAUUUCAAUUUUUCAUAAAAUUUCUUUACUAUUUUUAGCAUUAAUCGCGUGGACAUCAGCAACACUUCUGUGAACCUGUCCUCCUUUUUGACUCAGACCUGCCUCAGAAGCUUAGAGUUUUCCAAACUAUUACUAAGUGUUGCAGGCACUUUCCAAGUAAUACAUAAGAUCAGUGUGAUGUUUAUUCAUGUUUCCCCCGUGUUCCAGAAAGACCUCUGUAGUGAUCUUUAAAGCAAAACCUGUUGUAGUACGUCCAAUUCUACCUCUAGUUCCCUAUUUCUGUUGUCAAACCAGGUUGUUAAACUAUGAGUGAGGGUGAGUUUCUCCUAAUUUGCUCCACGCUCCCUGCAUGUUGACUUUAUUGGGACUUUUGCUUAUGGAGGUCUUUCAUUGCUGGGAGUUCCCUGGCAUAGCAUUUGCACGGUCAUCAAGGCAAGGUGUAUACUGACGCUAAGGACACUGGGCUGGCGGCAGAGCACAGGCCAUUUCUCAUACUAUUUGGACUAUUUGGACUAUUAUAGGGUGUAACUUUUGGACUAUUCUCUGGCAGAUGUAAUGAAGAGAAUUAUGUUUCAAGUUGCACGUUGUUCACCAUCAGGAUUUCAAUGUGAAUAAUAAUAGGCACUUGUAGUUCACAUGUAGCUUCAUUUCUAAAAUAGGAAAUAGUAUUUUCCUUAGAGAAAAUCACCAGAAUGGUGAAGGUAAGUUCCGAUUAAAUAGGUUAAUUAGGUUAAUAGGUUAGACAGAGCAAAGAUCAACAAAACUCAAUUAUUGAAGUUUCAAGACCAACAGAAAGAAGUAUUGGCAGAGAUUUUAAAGUACUAGUGUCUAGUCUCUGCGUGGUUUGGAACAGGUUCAGCUUCAGAAGAUAAUCUGAGAAAUGAGUAGAUGCAAAGGGCAGUCCUUAAUGUUGUAAUGCAGCAAUUCAGGUUCUUCUGAGGAACCUUUCACUUCUCAGGAACGGGAAUGGUGCUCACUUCUGAACUCAACUUUCUCAUUCAGAGUCUUUUCCCUACCUUUGGAGGGGUAUUCAGAGGGUUUUCCUAAAUGACACUAAUACAUCCAAAGGGCUGAAAAUGAGCAAGCGUAAUUGUCCUUUUAUCUUUCAUGUGCUGUCAUCCUAACACAAAUCCACUGGAAUUUUGGCAGCUUUUUGUUGUUGUUGUUGUUGAGAUGACACCACCAGUCUUCUGGAGAAUUUCAAAGCAUUUAAACUGAUAUAUUUCACAAGUAAUCACAGCUGCCUUGCCCUUCCUAAAACUUACAUAAAGAUUUUAAAAGAGUAUACGUAGCUCUGCAUGUUUUUGAAACAAAAUAAAGUUUAUUAUAGUUAAAGUGGAGACGUAGCGUGGGCUUUAGCUCCAAUUGCAUCAUUAGUCCUGCCUACAUUAUUCAAUAUACUUCAGUUGUCAUACGUAUGUUGCAAAACCUGAAGUGUGCAGGGAACAAAUCUGGCCAUUAAAUUUACAUAACGCAUAGUGACAUUUCUCUGGACUGCGGGCAAACACAGGAAAAACAAAACUUACACUUCAGAAAGCCAUCUACAAAUGCAAGGAAAAAAUAGAUUAAGCACAAGGACUGUACUGUAAGAACUAGUGAGGAAAAUCUUUUACUCCAUUUUUAGGCAAGGUUUAUUGCAGGUAACUGGACAGUAGAGUGUAAAAAGCUGAAAUACCAGCUUGGAGUUUUAUAAUGUUUGUGGUAGGAAAAAGAUAAAAAGCUUUAAGACAUUAUUUGAGGUUGAUUAAACAUGUCAACAGUGUGGAGGAAAAGAGCGCAAAGCCCUUAUAAGUGCAAACAUAAAAUAUUACAAGUGUUAUGGUAUUAGAUAAAAUAAAACAUAAAAAUAAUUUCAGGUCUGCAUCCUGGCUACUAAAACUGCACUUAUUUUCCAUUUGCAAUACUAUCAUUUAAGGAUAUAAAGACUUAUAUUUUAAGGGAGAUUAAGCAGGAUACAACAGGAAGUCAAGCACUAAACAGUUGUGAUACCGUAUUGUUGUUUAAAAGAGGGAUUAAGUAGCAUAGAGGAAAGGCUAAGUCAGGGCUUAAACCAGUGAUUGAGCACCUGGUGGGAAGGCAGGGCCAACCCAGGGGAGCUCAGGUGCAUGUAAUGUAGCUAAAUGACUGGGAGUGGUGGACCCGGGAUAUACCCCUUCCCAGCCCUCAUUUAAGGGUUGGCAGUGGAAGGAUGGGUAUCUCUUGUUGGAGGUCCCUGUGAAUCUAUAGUCUUCUGAAGGUGUAAAAGAGAUGUUGAAAUAUUGUCUACAAUGAAGAGAAAUUACCUGGACACCUUUCAGCAGAAGUUGCUGUGUGCAAGCUGAUGUCUUUUUCCUUUUACAAAGGAUUUUAACAACCUUGUUGCAUAGGACUUAAAGAAAUCAAAUAGGUUAGAAGAGAUUGAAGUUAUCCGAGAAUCUUCUGACAAAUGAUCUCUGUAUGUGGAAAGGGCUUCUUGUGCUGUGAAUGUACGAGGCUGCCAAGCAGAGAGCACAUGAAAAAGUAAUUGUUUGUUUGAAUGGUGUGGCACGAUACCGCAGUUCUUCAAAGCAUUAUGUGCACAGUACAGAUACAGAUGUCCUGAGUGCUUCACCUCAUUCACCCAACUGCACUUGCAGAUGUCCUUGGAAUGAGGAACACUUCAAAGAUUCAAGUCCAAGUUUCAAGUUCAAUGUGGUUGUUGAAGAGCACCAGUGUUUAAGCACUUUACUUCAGGCCUCUCUUCGGUUCUGAAAACAUCAGAUAACAGCUGCAAGCUUUAAAAAGCAGCUGGAUAUAAGUGAUGUACCCUAUAAUCUGUUCAAAGCCUUUUGUACUGUAACACUUUGUCUUUGAAACCAAUAAUCUCUUUUUUUUUUUGUUUCAAACUUUUUGAUGGAUUAUGUUUCUUGGAAUUGCCCAGACUCUCCAAACUGAGGUUUGUUUUGAGGAACUGUAGGGGCUGGGUUUUAAUUUGUCCCAGUUUUCUCCUCUUGCUGUAUUAUGCAAGCUUCUCAUUUUGUGUUUAUACCAUUAAGAUAUUGCUUAGGAAUACUAUUACUUGAAUAGUUCUGGAGAUCAAAUUGCCCAUGGAAAUACCACAUGUGAUAAUGCUGUUAUACUCUGAUUAUAUUAUAUGCUAUUGUGUAUUGUAAUUAGACAUAUUUUAAAAUAGUAUCCCCGAAGGCCAAUGAAAUCAUGUAAUUCAGAACUACUAGGUUAUCCUAAGCAGUCUGAAGGUUCUGGAUGAGUAGACGAGCUCCUGGAAGUCAGUUUUGUGGGAGACCUAUUGGACAACCCUGUGGAGAAAGCUGCUGGCAGCUACUACUGUCUGGGAAAUUGGUUAUAUAAUGUGUGAUGGAGUUUAAAGGGCCCAAGGGGAGCAUUUUGUUAAUGAUAGGGAAUAAAACUGCCCAUAGGAAUACUGAGGAGCUGGAGGUAGGAAGCGGUUCCAGUGUUGAGAAUGUUUUGUCGUAGUUCUGACUGUAAGUCUUCUCUCAGGAAGAGAGGUGGAGUGGUUGGAUAUGUUUGUAGCUGCAUGCUGUUAUCUAAAACUACUUGUAUUAUGUAGAAAAUACUUUGAAGCAAUUUCUAUGAAGUUAUGUGUUAAGCAUUGUUAUUAAUUGUAAGCAGUUGUUUGUAAUGCUUUGAACUAAGUAAAAUCACCUUCAGGUGAUUUUUCUUUUUUUUCCCCUCUAGUAUUAUCCUCACUAGUAUUGCUUCUGCACAUCCUUAAUGGUACUAUGCUGAUACAACCUAUCUGAAUAAAGUGAAAUAAUGCUUCCUUUGCAGUGUUCAGAGUGCAGGCCUUAAUCAUCCUUAAUUUUUAAGUCUAAUCCUCAAGUUAGAACAAGUGUUUUUUUAUCUUCUUGAGCAACAGAUAAGCUUCUUGUAGAACCACUAUUGCUGAAUGAGAAAUACCACCCUGGAUGUUUUGCAGCCCUCUCAGGGUGACUGAGGAAACUGUUAAAGACAUGGAAGUGGAUUGCUACUUGUGGCAUACUAGCAUGUAACAUCGAUCUGUAACAGUAACUCCAUCACUAAAAAUCUUGGCAGGAAUGGUUGUGGUAACUGAAGCGUAAUGUAAAUGUAUCAAAAUGAUAGGAAUUAAUUUUGAAUUACACUUUCAUUUAGUUUUGUUCUAAUAACUUAAUUUUACUAGUAAAGAGUUUAAAACUAAGAACUUCAAGGCACGUCUUCACAAGUUUGUUCUUGAAACUUGGGGAAAUAAUCUCCGUGCUCCUGAUCUGUGUAGGAGUUCUUGCAUGAGGAGUAGUGGAUUGAGUUCCCCCAGGUUUAAUGCCAGAGUUAACUGAAAGCCCAGAGACAAAAGCUUUGUCGUUGUUUCUGAAGCUGCACUUCUGAUUCAUUCUGUUCUCUAAUUCCCUGUGUCUUGAGAAUGCUGAUCCCAGAUCAGAAUAUGAGCUUGAAAAUGCUGUAAUAUUAAAAUUACAGUUGAGAUAGUGGAUAUAUUUCUGCUCCAUCUAUAGUGUCCAAGACUACGAGGCUGUUUUUUUUUCCAACCCACUAUAGUAAGAUAAUUCAGCAGAAACUUCUAAUUAGCUUUUAUAUUUUACUCCAAUGCUGCUGUUGUCUAUAGGGCAGUAGAAGUAAGCUGUUUUACAGAGUUUAUGCUGUCUGUGGUAUUAGAUCUACAGAAUUUAAUACAGUGCUAUGCUGUCUCACUAUAAUCUUGCUGUGGUUCUCCCCCCCCCCCCCCCCCACACACACACGCACAUCUUAGUAAAUAAAUCCAAAUGCAGAAUUGAAUAGUUAAAACCUCUUAUGUGGCAACUGAUCAUGCUGAAUGACCCAGCAAAACAAGUCCUGAGCUUGAUGAAUGAAAAAUAUACCUGUAAAGAGAACUUCAUCUUGUUUCAGUAAUUUUACCUUAAGUGUGUUUCUAAACUCCUUGUGAUAGCGUGUCUAACACUUGUGAAUUUAAAUGUGAAGAUUAAGAUUCUACUUAGCCCUUCUUGUAAUGUCAUUGCUAAUGAGGAAUUUCCAGAGCUGUGUCAUGGUUCUUAUUUUUUAUUGGUAUUCCAGAUCACAACAUCAUAUAGUGCACUGGGAGUUAAAGUGUUAAUGCUCCAGUCCUGUGGAUCAUUGCUACUUCUGGGUAUAGCUGCCUCAGAAGAGGAGGAGAACUACAUACCCCAGAGGACUGUUCACUGUUUAGUUUCUGUUUUUCAUUCAGAGGGAUAGACAAAACUGUUCACAGACCAAGAUGCCCCCUCUUCCCUUUCUUCUCGUCUCUGCAGUGUGUGUGCUCCCCAGCUGUCUUGUCUGCAGCAUUAGAGUAAGGCCUUCAGUUUUUUGGACACACAUUUAAUUUGUUUAGUAUUCAUUUUAUUUAUUGGCCUCAAUUUCAAUUGUAUUGUAUUAUAUUGUAUUACC
ensembl:lncRNA